rnacentral:rRNA from 1 species
UUCGGUGGCAAUAGCGAGGGGGAUACACCUCUUCCCAUUCCGAACAGAGCCGUUAAGCCCCUCAGCGCCGAUGGUACUUGGUGGGAAACCGCCUGGGAGAGUAGGUCGCCGCCGGUC